rnacentral:rRNA from 1 species
AACGCUGGCGGCGUGCCUAACACAUGCAAGUCGUACAGGACCGGGGGCAACUCCGGUUCAGUGGCAGACGGGUGCGUAACACGUGAGGAACUUGUCCGGUGGCGGGGGAUAGCCGGCCCAACGGCCGGGUAAUACCGCAUACGCUCGUUCGGGGGCAUCCCUGGGCGAGGAAAGCAGCCGCAAGGUUGCGCCGACGGAGGGCCUCGCGACCUAUCAGCUUGUUGGCGGGGUAACGGCCCACCAAGGCGACGACGGGAGCUGGUCUGAGAGGAUGAUCAGCCACAUUGGGACUGAGACACGGCCCAGACUCCUACGGGAGGCAGCAGUGGGGAAUAUUGCGCAAUGGCCGCAAGGCUGACGCAGCGACGCCGCGUGUGGGAUGACGGUCUUCGGAUUGUAAACCACUGUCA